GGAAGAGGCUGGAGUGGUCUUAUUUAGUGAACCGCGCCGUGGUGUGUUGAAAAAGUGAAGCGCAAUAGCAUAAAGCGCAAUUAAAUUCUGGUAGGCGACUAGUGCGAGUAGAAACGAAGAUUAGAAGAUUCGUAGCAGCAUCGGUUUAUUGCCGACACAUCACACUUUUCGUUACGACCGCUCUUAGACCCCACCUAUCGGCUGCAAAGUUUUCCCGGGGUGCACGUGGCCGGAAGAAGGCUGCGUCCGUAAGUUCCCGCGCCUUAGGCAG